AACGAACGCUGGCGGCAGGCUUAACACAUGCAAGUCGAGCGCCCCGCAAGGGGAGCGGCAGACGGGUGAGUAACACGUGGGAAUGUACCUUUUGCUACGGAAUAGCUCCGGGAAACUGGAAUUAAUACCGUAUGUGCCCUUCGGGGGAAAGAUUUAUCGGCAAAAGAUCGGCCCGCGUCUGAUUAGCUAGUUGGUGGGGUAAUGGCCUACCAAGGCGACGAUCAGUAGCUGGUCUGAGAGGAUGAUCAGCCACACUGGGACUGAGACACGGCCCAGACUCCUACGGGAGGCAGCAGUGGUGAAUAUUGGACAAUGGGCGCAAGCCUGAUCCAGCCAUGCCUCGUGAGUGAUGAAGGCCUUAGGGUUGUAAAGCUCUUUCGCUAGGGAAGAUAAUGACGGUACCUAGAGAAGAAGCCCCGGCUAACUUCGUGCCAGCCGCCGCCGUAAGAC
rnacentral:rRNA from 1 species